AACAGCAAUGGUUUGAAAAGGGCCUCCAAAGUUACAUAUGAUUGCAAGUGGCUCGCCAAAGUUACGUAGGUUCCUACCUACAAUGAGUGCUACAAACAAGAAGUCUUUUCCUAAAUAUGGUGGGGUCAAGAAGAGUGGAGGUUCUCCGAAAGUGAAAAAAAAGGGCAGAGUGGAAUCCAGACCGUGAGAAGUCUCUUGUCGAUAUUCUCCAUGAGUAUAAAGAUAGUGGCUAUAGAGGUGACAACGAUUGAAACUCUGAAGGAUGGAAUAGGAUGGUGAAGGAAUUCCAUCUGAGGAACAAGUAUAUGUCCUACAGAAAAGGCUCAGAUUCAAGAGAAAGAAGGUCAACUGAAAAGAAACUACAAGAUGCUAAAAGAGGCAAGGAGACAGAGCGGGUCUAGAUGGAAUGAAAAAAGAAAUAUGGUUGAAGGAACACCAUCUACGUGGAAUAACCUCAUGGUGAUCAUUUGGCGGAAUGGACUUACAAUUGCACUUCUUUGGAGACAUCACAAGAUGAACAACCACUUAAACAAAUUGUUGAUGUAGAAGGAAAAGAAGAAUAGUUACUAGAUGAAGAUGAUGAUGAUGAUGCUCAAAGGGAUGAUGAUGCUCAAAGAAGGACCACGGAAUGCUUGGAUCAAAGGAAUGAUGGAGAAGAUCUGGAUGACAUUCGCGAGGUAACACCUGCUCAAAAAAGGGGACUAUGAAGAACUGCUACUACAUCAAGAAACACACAAGAAAAGCAAGAGAAGAUGUCUAAGAGGGGUGUAAGGAUAGAAGAAAUGAUGGAGAGAUUUCUGGAAAAGAGAGAAGAAGAAACUGCACUCAUAAUAAAGCAAGCAGAAAAAGAAGCUGCACGUCGAGCCAAGCAAGCAGAAGAAGAAGAAGCUGCAUGUCGUGCCAAGGAAGUAAAAGAAGAAGUUGCAUGUCUGGACAAAGAAAAUGAGGCUGCUAAAAGUAAUGAUUUCUCUAUCAAAAGGUGCAUCUCAGUUCUGAACACACUGGAAGUGACCAAGGAAGAAAAGGCAAAAGCAUAUGCAGUCUUCAUCUAGAGCAAAGAAAAUAGAUAGGCUUUCAUUUGUGGUUGUGAAGCAGUUGUGGAAUCAACUUUGAUUAGGUUAAAAAAUGAGAUGGUCUAGCAGGUAGAACAUUUCUGCUCCCGUGGAACCACUUCCUUCAUGUCUGUUCCUUUAAGUAAUCAUUGAACUCAUUGUAAGUUUAGAGACUAUGGAUAAGUUCUCUAGUAUGGCUAGCUGAUUGUUGUUA